rnacentral:rRNA from 1 species
UACGGAGGGUGCAAGCGUUAUCCGGAAUCACUGGGUUUAAAGGGUGCGUAGGCGGGUUAUUAAGUCAGUGGUGAAAGCCGGUCGCUCAACGAUCGAACUGCCAUUGAUACUGAUAGUCUUGAAUUGGGUUGAGGUUAGCGGAAUGUGACAUGUAGCGGUGAAAUGCGUAGAUAUGUCAUGGAACACCAAUUGCGAAGGCAGCUAGCUAGGCCUUGAUUGACGCUGAGGCACGAAAGCGUGGGUAGCGAACAGG